GUUCAUCUUUGAAAAUUAAUCAAAGCCCAACCCUUCCUUCUCUCUCAUCGACCGACCUUCACUCUCUUCCUUCUUCGAUUUCCGGCGAAAGUCUCUCCCUCUUCUAACUCUUCUCCUCAAUUCCAUCGAAGACUCUCCAAUCAAGGGUUUGAUUAGGGUUAAGCGUUUCUGAUUUAGAUCCAUUCAGCUACAAUGGAAGCUCCUGAGAAACAAGAAGAGAUCGUCUCUGAUAUGACUGGAAAACUGGCUGGCACUGUCAACUGGGGUACUGCCACGGUCGUUGGAGUAUUGCCCCCAUGUUAUAUGGAUCUAGCAAAGCGGCUUCCGAGUCUGUGACUUUGUUGAGGGAGAAACCUUUGCAUCUCUUAUACAGAGCAAGGAUGCAGAAGUAAUGUUGAAGCUUGGGAGCACUCCGGAUCAAUGUUGUCAAAUAGCGGCUAUAGCGGGGAUAUUGCGCUAUAGCAUAUCAGUUUUUAAUGAAAACGCUAUCGCCACACCGAUACGUAGCAUUUUUCUGUGGCGGCCGCCAUACCCGUGGCGGUCGUGGCGCCAUAGCGCUACCAUAUCCCGCAAUAGCGGUAUUUUAGCCCAAUUUUGACUUUUUGGUGCUAAUUUUGACUUUUAUUGGGUUUUUUAUUUUUUAAUUUAAUUUUGCAUAAGCCCAAUCAGCCCACCCCAAUAAUUCUAACCCCAAUAAUUCUAAACCCUAAUUCCACAACCCCAAUCUGCCGCUUUUCAUCUCUACUCCUUCAGUCCUUCCACAAUCUGCCACCCACCGUCGCGCCGCCGCCGCCACUGUCGCGCCGCCCCCGCCUGUUGCAGCCUAGCCAGCACCCGCCAGCACCCUCCAGCCCCACUCAGUGACUCAACCACCGCCCAGCCAUACAGCCCCUCCUAUUCACAAUCUGCACCUUACAACCCCUCCUAUUCACAAUCAUCCCCACUCAGUGACUCAGCCACCGCCCAGCCACUUGACGCCGCCACCCUCGCGCCGCCGCCGCCGCCACCCUGUACUUAUAGUGAUUUAGUUCCUAAUAAUAUUUAUAAAUAACAAUUAUGUGAUUAAUUAUAUUUAUUUUGUAGAUUCAUACAAAAAAGAGAAAUAGGCUCGAGCAUAAGAGGAUGCAAGAUUUGGUUUAUGUGAAAUAUAACCAAAAAUUGCAUGAUAGGAACAAGCUUAGUGCAACCGAUGAAUUUGAUCCUAUUAUUCUCGAUGAUAUUGAUGAGUGCAAUGAGUGGCUAGUUGGGGAGUUGGAUGAUGAUGAUGAUAUUGAUGGUGGUAAUCAUUUGGUUCAUGAUGACGAUGAUACACUUGAUUGGAACAUGGUGUAUAAGGCUUCGGGUGUUGGAGAGCCUAGGACAUAUACUAGGUCAAAGAAGAGGAAAGAAUCUUCUACAUCUAGUUCAAGUUGUCUUAGAGUUUCUAAGAAAAAAGAAUCUAUCAUACCUAGAAAAGGGAAAGGGAAAAGGAAAAGGCUUGCGCUUGUAGAUGAAGAAUCGGAAGAGGAAGAAUUUGAGGAUAGUGUAAGUGGAGAUCAAGAGGAUGAAGCAAUGGAGGAUGAAGAUGAAAUGGAUGCCGAUGAUAGUGAUGAUGAUGAGCUAGAAGACUAUGUUGAGCUUGAUGAUUGAUGUCUAUUGAGCUUAUCAUGAUUUUAUGUUUUGUUGAACACUUGAACUAAAGACUUUAAUUGCUAGACUUUUAUAUAAUUGUUUUCUAUUUUAUGCUUUAUUACAUGUUUUUAGAGUUUUUAAUGUUAUAUUUUUUUUAUUUUCUAAUUUUUUGAAUUAUAUAUGAAUAUAUAAAUAUUAUUUUAUAUAUUUAAUUAAUGACCGCUAUAUCCCGCCAUACCGAUACGCUAUAUCCCUGUGGCAUUUUUCGGGCGAACCGCCAUGAACCGCUAUACUGCUUUGACAACAUUGCUCUGGAUAAGCGUGAACAGUAUCGACUCAUGAGGGAUGCAAUGGAGAAGAGAUUUAUUACAGUUGCUCGUGGUUCCAUAGUCGGUGGAAUUUGACUGGGGAUGUUCACUGCUGCCUUUUACGGUUUGCAGAAUCUUCUUGCUGAGAAACGAGGUGUAAUUGAUGUUUAUAAUGUAGUUGGAGCUGGUUCUGCUACUGCUUCUACGUUUGGUUUAAUCUUGCCUGGUUCCUUCCGUGGGCGCUUAAGGAAUGCAAUGGUGGGCUCACUUUUGGGUGCAGCUAUCUGCUUCCCACUCGGUUGGCUUCAUUUGAAGCUUGUGGCAAAAGCAAAUGGAGGUAAAUUGACUACUAGGAACGAGGAAGCGAAAGCGGUAUUGCUGCUGCCGUUGAGAGGCUUGAAGGUAACUUGGAAAAGAGGGCCUGAUUGUCUUGCAACGCCGUGAUGUUAGCAGCGGUGCUCUUGAGUGCCCACGUGGAUGGUUUUUCUUUAUCCUAGAAGCAAGGUGGCUAAUUUUGACGUUUUGUCGAACACUCCUUUCCGGGUAAUCAGGUGAAGAAGAGUGAAUAAUAGAGAGAGUGUAGUAGUGUAUUGUAUUUGAGGCGCAUCCUAGCUUUAGACGUGAUGUUAACAGUAUACCUGUACACAUGUUUGAAAUGGAAUGAAUUUUCAUUAUAUCUACAA